rnacentral:pre_miRNA from 1 species
UAGGGUGAUCAGCCAUCAGGGUUUGCCUGGAACUGUCCUAUGUCCUAGGACACUGGACAGUUCCAGACAAGCCAGGAAGGCUGAUCAUUGAUACCUC